AACGAACGCUGGCGGCAGGCCUAACACAUGCAAGUCGAGCGAGGACUUCGGUCCUAGCGGCGGACGGGUGAGUAACGCGUGGGAACGUGCCCUUUGCUUCGGAAUAGCCCUGGGAAACUGGGAUUAAUACCGGAUGAGCCCUUUGGGGGAAAGAUUUAUCGGCGAAGGAUCGGCCCGCGUUGGAUUAGGUAGUUGGUGGGGUAAUGGCCUACCAAGCCGACGAUCCAUAGCUGGUUUGAGAGGAUGAUCAGCCACACUGGGACUGAGACACGGCCCAGACUCCUACGGGAAGCAGCAGUGGGGAAUCUUAGACAAUGGGGGAAACCCUGAUCUAGCCAUGCCGCGUGAGCGAUGAAGGCCUUAGGGUUGUAAAGCUCUUUCAGCUGGGAAGAUAAUGACGGUACCAGCAGAAGAAGCCCCGGCUAACUCCGUG
rnacentral:rRNA from 1 species